AUACAGAGGGAGCAAGCGUUGUUCGGAUUUACUGGGCGUAAAGCGCGCGCAGGCGGGCGGAUAAGUCGGACGUGAAAAUUGUGGGCUCAACCUACAACCUGCGUCCGAAACUGUUCGUCUUGAGUACAGGAGAGGUGAGUGGAAUCUAUGGUGUAGCGGUGAAAUGCGUAGAUAUCAUAGAGAACACCGGUGGCGAAGGCGGCUCACUGGCCUGAUACUGACGCUGAGGCGCGAAAGCUAGGGGAGCGAACAGGAUUAGAAACCCGAGUAGUCC
rnacentral:rRNA from 1 species